UACGUAGGGUGCGAGCGUUAAUCGGAAUUACUGGGCGUAAAGCGUGCGCAGGUGGUUCGUUAAGUCUGCUGUGAAAGCCUCGGGCUCAACCUGGGAAUGGCAGUGGAAACUGGCGAGCUUGAGUGUGGCAGAGGGGGGUGGAAUUCCACGUGUAGCAGUGAAAUGCGUAGAGAUGUGGAGGAACACCGAUGGCGAAGGCAGCCCCCUGGGCUGACACUGACACUCAGGCACGAAAGCGUGGGGAGCAAACAGG
rnacentral:rRNA from 1 species